UACGAAGGGUGCAAACGUUGCUCGGAAUUAUUGGGCGUAAAGCGCACGUAGGCGGCUUAGCAAGUCGGAUGUGAAAUCCCUCGGCUCAACCAAGGAAGUGCAUCCGAAACUGCUGAGCUUGAGUACGAAAGAGGAUCGCGGAAUUCCCGGUGUAGAGGUGAAAUUCGUAGAUAUCGGGAGGAACACCAGUGGCGAAGGCGGCGAUCUGGGUCGAUACUGACUCUGAGGUACGAAAGCGUGUGGAGCAAACAGG
rnacentral:rRNA from 1 species